rnacentral:snRNA from 1 species
GUGCUCACUUCGCAACACCAUUAUUACAGCUGGAAUGAUACAAGAAAAUUAGGAUGGCCCCUAAGCAAGGCUGAUGUGCAAUUUUGAGAAGUGUUCUGUAUUUUU